CUGUUAAAAUGUAUUCUUUACACAGUUAUGGUGUUCUUGUUCAGAUUUUCCAUAUGUAAUCUCACUGCUCAGUCUUGUUAGAGUUUGUCAUCAGUUUUACAAUCAUCAAGCACCUUUUUGAGAGAGCUGGACCUGAGUAACAAUGAUCUGAAGGAUUCUGGAGUGAAGCUUCUUUCUGAUGGACUGAAGAGUCCAAACUCUAAGCUGGAGAUACUGAGGUUAUCUGGCUGUAUGGUGACAGAGGAGGGAUUCUGUUAUGUGUCUUCAGCUCUGACUUCACAUCCCUCACCCUUGAGAGAGCUGGAUCUAAGCUAUAAUCACCCUGGAGAUUCAGGAGUCAAGCUACUCUCUGAAAAAACUGGACAAAUUCAAUGUGAAUCAUGGAGGAGAAUCCAGGAUUACACGCAGGACUACAGAAAUGUAUGUCUAAACACAUACACACACACAGC